AACGAACGCUGGCGGCACGCCUAACACAUGCAAGUCGAACGAGACCUUCGGGUCUAGUGGCGCACGGGUGCGUAACGCGGGGGAACCUGCCCUUAGGUUCGGAAUAACUCCCCGAAAGGGGUGCUAAUACCGGAUAAUGUCUUCGGACCAAAGAUUUAUCGCCUUUGGAUGGGCCCGCGUUGGAUUGGCUAGUUGGUAGGGUAAAAGCCUACCAAGGCGACGAGCCAUAGCUGGUCUGAGAGGAUGAUCAGCCACACUGGGACUGAGACACGGCCCAGACUCCUACGGGAGGCAGCAGUGGGGAAUAUUGGACAGUGGGCGAAAGCCUGAUCCAGCAAUGCCGCGUGAGUGAUGAAGGCCUUAGGGUUGUAAAGCUCUUUUACCCGGGAUGAUAAUGACAGUACCGGGAGAAUAAGCUCCGGCUAACUCCGUG
rnacentral:rRNA from 1 species